GAUGAACGUUGGCGGCGUGCCUAAUACAUGCAAGUCGAACGGAGAUUGUAGCAAUACGGUCUCAGUGGCGAACGGGUGAGUAACGCGUUGGUGACCUGCCCCGAAGUGUGGAAUAACAGAUCGAAAGAGCUGCUAAUACCGCAUACGCUUUCCGGGACACAAGUGCCGGAAAGGAAAGAUGGCCUCUACAUGAAAGCUAUCACUUAUGGAUGGACCCGCGUCUGAUUAGCUAGUUGGUGGGGUAGAAGCCUACCAAGGCGACGAUCAGUAGCCGGCCUGAGAGGGUGGACGGCCACACUGGGACUGAGACACGGCCCAGACUCCUACGGG
rnacentral:rRNA from 1 species